rnacentral:rRNA from 1 species
UACGUAGGUGGCAAGCGUUAUCCGGAAUUAUUGGGCGUAAAGAGUGAGCAGGCGGCAAAUUAAGUCUGAGGUUAAAGCGUGGAGCUCAACUCCAUAAAGCCUUGGAAACUGAUUAGCUAGAGUACGAGAGAAGUAAGCGGAAUUCCAUGUGUAGCGGUGAAAUGCGUAGAUACAUGGAGGAACACCAGUGGCGAAGGCGGCUUACUAGCUCGAAACUGACGCUCAGUCACAAAAGCGUGGGUAGCAAAUA